GAUGAACGCUGGCGGCGUGCCUAAUACAUGCGAGUCGAGCGAACGGACGAGAAGCUUGCUUCUCUGAUGUUAGCGGCGGACGGGUGAGUAACACGUGGAUAACCUACCUAUAAGACUGGGAUAACUUCGGGAAACCGGAGCUAAUACCGGAUGAUAUUUUGAACCGCAUGGUUCAAAAGUGAAAGACGGUCUUGCUGUCACUUAUAGAUGGAUCCGCGCUGCAUUAGCUAGUUGGUAAGGUAACGGCUUACCAAGGCAACGAUGCAUAGCCGACCUGAGAGGGUGAUCGGCCACACUGGAACUGAGACACGGUCCAGACUCCUACGGGAGGCAGCAGUAGGGAAUCUUCCGCAAUGGACGAAAGCCUGACGGAGCAACGCCGCGUGAGUGAUGAAGGUCUUCGGAUCGUAAAACUCUGUUAUUAGGGAAGAACAUAUGUGUAAGUAACUGUGCACAUCUUGACGGUACCUAAUCAGAAAGCCACGGCUAACUACGUG
rnacentral:rRNA from 1 species